GACGUAGGGUGCAAGCGUUGUCCGGAUUUAUUGGGCGUAAAGAGCUCGUAGGCGGCUUGUUGAGUCGGGUGUGAAAACCCGCGGCUUAACCGCGGGCGUGCAGUGGAUACUGGCAGGCUAGAGUUCGGUAGGGGAGACUGGAAUUCCUGGUGUAGCGGUGAAAUGCGCAGAUAUCAGGAGGAACACCAAUAGCGAAGGCAGCUCGCUGGGACGUUACUGACACUGAGGCGCGAAAGCGUGGGGAGCGAACAGG
rnacentral:rRNA from 1 species